rnacentral:rRNA from 1 species
UACGAGGGGGGCAAGCGUUGUUCGGAUUUAUUGGGUUUAAAGGGUGCGUAGGCGGUCCAUUAAGUCAGUUGUGAAAUACGGCAGCUUAACUGUCGAGGUGCAAUUGAUACUGGAGGACUUGAGUACAGACGAGGUAGGCGGAAUUGACGGUGUAGCGGUGAAAUGCAUAGAUAUCGUCAAGAACACCGAUAGCGAAGGCAGCUUACUAGACUGUAACUGACGCUGAGGCACGAAAGUGUGGGGAUCAAACAGG